rnacentral:rRNA from 1 species
ACCGGCGCACGGGUGCGUAACACGUAUGGAACUUGCCCUUUACUGGAGGAUAGCCCGGAGAAAUCCGGAUUAAUACUCCAUAACAGUCGGGGUGGCAUCACCCUGAUUUGAAAGCUCCGGCGGUAAAGGAUGGCCAUGCGCACGAUUAGCUAGUUGGUGAGGUAACGGCUCACCAAGGCUACGAUCGUUAGGGGGCCUGAGAGGGUUAUCCCCCACACUGGUACUGAGACACGGACCAGACUCCUACGGGAGGCAGCAGUGAGGAAUAUUGCGCAAUGGAGGCAACUCUGACGCAGCCAUGCCGCGUGCAGGAAGAAGGCGCUACGCGUUGUAAACUGCUUUUAACCGGGAAGAAACCCCAGGACGUGUCCUGGGUUGACGGUACCGGAGGAAUAAGCACCGGCUAACUUCGUGCCAGCAGCCGCGGUAAUACGAAGGGUGCAAGCGUUAUCCGGAUUCAUUGGGUUUAAAGGGUGCGUAGGUGGGGCGAUAAGUCAGUGGUGAAAUCUUGCGGCUUAAUCGUAAAAUUGCCAUUGAUACUGUCGCUCUUGAGUACGCUUGACGUGGGCGGAAUGUGCCGUGUAGCGGUGAAAUGCUUAGAUAUGGCACAGAACACCGAUAGUGAAGACAGCUCACGAAGGCGAAACUGGCACUGAGGCACGAAAGCGUGGGGAUCGAACAGGAUUAGAUACCCUGGUAGUCCACGCCGUAAACGAUGAUCACUCGA